ensembl:lncRNA novel transcript
CCUGUGCUGGGAGAGGGUCACUGGGCUGAGAUUGGUAGGUGGCUCUGGGAGCUGAGGGCCUAAACCUAUGACCACAAGGAACUGAAUUCAUCCCAAAGCCAGAGAGGUGGAAGACGACUCAGAAGAUGCAGAUGCCAAUGCCACAUCCUGGUAAAGGUUCUCGGAAGGACCCAAUGAGACUGGGCUCACUGGGAUAAUCCAGGAUCAUCUCCCAUCUCAAGGUUCUUCAUCGCAUACUUGCAAAGCCCCUUUUGCCAUGUCAGGUAACUUGUUCACAGGUUUGAAGAUUAGAAUGUGGGCAUGUUUGGGGGGCAUAAUUAGGCCUAGCACAAUGCCCAUGUACCCAUCUCCUUGCUUAAACAUUAAACACUUUGCCAAU